ensembl:lncRNA
AUCUCAGAGAACAGCUUCUGGCCAUUGAAGGUGAAUAAGCAAAGGUAAAAAGACUCUUCAUUUAAGUAUGAGUAUGCUGGUAGUUAACAGAGGAACACUUCUGUAAAGUGGCUAAGGAGCCGUGUCCCUAGGAACAUUUGGGUUUAGCCUACAUUUAUCUGUGUGGUUGGCUGAGGGGCUGCAUCCACUUCUUUUCAAAGGGUUGUUAUUUAGAAUGGAGCAUGAUCUGAAAAAUAAUUUCUGCAUCUUUUCAAUGCCAUCUUCUAAAUUCAGCCUUGGUUGUUGCUAGCAAUGAAGAAGUGCUGGUACUAUCAGUGCUGCUCUUCAAUGCAGCAAAUUCCGGUGUGCUCGCUGCACAGUUAGAGAAGAUCAAAAGCUAGACUUAUCCAUGAGGUAGAAUUCAAUGUUGUGGGUAAGAUGUGAAUGAGGUAGCUACCAUUUUAGCAACAGUGAUUUCUUAAUUUGGUGUGAGAUUGUGUGUUUUCCAUUCUUUAGAGAGAAUGAUUUGAAGUAACCUCUUUACAGCUUGAUGGCUGAACUCUGAUUGCCACCUCCUGGCUGGUUUAACAUUCCUUCCUGUUAACAGGAACUCACCUCUGUUUUUUUGUUUUUAAGUUUCUGUAACUUGUGCAACAAACAAAUCCUAACAAGGUGUUUCCAAGCCUGGAGGAGACAUAUCCUUUGGAAGAGGGCAGCCAGGCAGCUUUACAGACGCCAGCUGCUUCAGAAGGGCUUUGGUGCUCUGCAGUGGACUUUGCACCAAAGGAGGACACAACUGGAGGUGGCCCAGCAGAGACAUGCUUCAACUCUGGUAGCUGCCAGCUUCCAGAGGGUGAGCACUGGCUAGGGACAGUGGUGCCAUGACCUUUCUGCUGUGCAGGCAGAGAAGGCACAAAUCCUGUUUGGAUAGGGAGGAGGAGGGGGUACCCUGUGUGAAAUUCCAUGAUGCAGACCCUGGUACCAAUACUCUGUCUGCUGUUUGUUCUAAUCAUGUGGUUUCUUCUUCAGUGGAAGGAAGCUGUGGCAAAACAGAGCAAGAAAGAAGCUCUGCAGCCUGAGCCUUACUCCUAUACCCAAAGUUCAUCAGCAGGGAUAUUUGGAAUAGGAAGAUUAGCAACUAUGACAACCUCAGCUCAGCAUCAGCUUGCAACAGGAUACUCAAAGGAAGUGGAGCAGGCUUGUAGAAUGGAGGGAGAGCUGUGGACACAGCUUCGUCAUAGGCAGAGAGGAGACGAGUUCUGCUGGAGAGCUGAAGCAAUCAGAGACAUGAGACGGCUGGCUGCUUUCAGACUGUGGCGCCUGCAGAAGGAGCUGCUGAGCAAAGAGGAAACCAGGCUUUUGGAAGCAUGUGCUCUGCUGGAAAAGAAGAAACUACGAAACAUUUUCUGCAUGUGGCAUUCCCAAAGCUUGGAAAUGAAAAAGAUUCUAACACUGACAACUCAAAUCCAAAGAAACUUGGUCUCCCGGUGCUUCAGUACAUGGAAGGAAACUGUUGAGCAGAAGGCACUUGACAGGUGCAACCUGGCCCAUCUCAGAGCAGUAUCACUGAGGAAGCACUUCCAGCAGUGGGUUUUGAUGCUGCAGGUCAGAGGAGGUGAUAAGCAGUCAGUGGUGAACCUCUUCCUGCUACGAUGGAGGCAGCAUUGUGGAGCAGUUAUAAGCUCAGUAGCUGACAAGACUGUGACCAAGAGGCAUGAAGGUCAGACAUCAUGGGCUGAAGAGAGACAGUUUCUGGAGAAAACAAACUACUCUUUUGAUGACUUCUGCCAAAAACUGAAGCUGCAGAGAGUAUAUCUGCUGUGGAAAACAAGGCUAUGUGAGCAUCACAGAGCUGAUUCUUUCUCUCAGACUUUGAAGCAGUGUAAACUCAGAAAAAUUCUGAAAUUAUGGCACCAAAAGUAUCUCAUGCUGAAGACAAUUGAGCAAAGUUCUAAGCAUUUGCAUAGAGCUGUCUAUGAGGAACCUCUUGCCACACUGUUCUCUGAGGACUUCUCAACAUCAUCUGGCUUUGACAGCAGUGCACCAGCUACUCUGACCUCUCAAAGCUCAUUGGAAAAGGAAUGCAGUCUUAGUGACAGCAGCCAGCACAGCUUCUCUUCCCUUCUGCCUGCUGAGGAUGUCACACAUGUGUCAUGUCACAGUUCUUUCCUGCAGCUCCACCAGUGCACAGAGCUGCCAGCUGAGCUGGGUGGGGAGCUGUGCUUGCAGACCUCCUUCCCUGGAUCUGGAAGAAAUUGGUCUGUGGGAAAUCCGUUCCAGACUUUGGUGCUGCAGAGUCCAGAUAAUAAUUUCCAGCCUCUCACCAGUUACUCUGCAUGGGAAGAGGGCUGCAGUUCUGAUAAGGAGAUGAAGAGCUGCUGGCAGCAAGUGGAGAAACACUGCCUGCAGAGGUGCUUCAUUGUCUGGUCAGCUCGAGCCCAACAUCAUGUAAAGGCCCAGCAGUACUGCAGGCACAUUCAGCUGUCUCGAGCCUUUCUCAGCUGGCACCACUGGGUCAUGGAAAAUAAGAACCAAAAAGCAGCAGCAGCAGCCCUAAAACAUGGAGUUCAUUGUUGCCAGAUGGCUUUCAGCCUGUGGAAAAGGAGACUGGCCCAGAAGGUGGAAGUUGAGCGGAGAUUCAGGUGUCAUGUUCACCAGAUGACUGCUGAUGCUCUGUGGCAUUGGCAUUCCUGCUGGCAAAGGAAGCGUGCUCUGAGAGAUCUGCAGCAGCAAUGGGCUUGGCACAGCUGCCAGGAGAAGAAAAGGCUGGUUCUGCAGACAUGGUAUCACCAAACAAGGAAGCAGAAAUAUGCUGUUUUAUUCUGGGAACGUUUUCUCCUGCACAGGUGCCUUGUCACUUGGGCCCAGGUCACUGCAUGCAGACUGAGGCAGCAUGAAGCCCUCUCUUGUUUUAAAAGAGUCAGAGAGCACCGUCUCCUGGUUGUGUGCUUUAGUAAGUGGAGGGACAAACUCCUGAGAGCUGAACAAGUGCCAGGAGGGAGAAACCACAAGUGGCAGGAGCCCUCUCCAGGUAAAGCCUGUCACCGCUGGCGAGUGGCUGCAAGAGGACAGCGAGCCCUGCGCCUGGGGUCUGCAGCUACUGUCAAACAAGCCUGCAACUACUGGACCAGAGCAGCUGCCUUUUCCCAGUGCCUACGGCAGCACAGUACCCUCAUAGGUGUUAGGAAAAGCAGGAAGAUGUCUCUGUCUUGGUCCACGAAAAGCAGAAGAGGCAGAGAAGAUUCAGCACCAACUGGACUUUUUCCCAGUGCCAUUCAGCGCUGGCUGGUGAUCUACAGGAGCCAAAACAGGGCUGAAAGGCUGGAGAGACCUGGUGUAGUAGGACCCCCUCGUGCACAUGCAGGGAUCCAGGAGAGCACAGCAGAGGUGGACUUGGAGGAGUGGGCUAAGAAGUGGCUUGGGAGGAAAUAUCUGAGGUCAUGGCAUCACACAGCGGUACUGCGCCGGUGCCAGCAUGACAGGAAACUGCUCAGUCUGGCAAGGGGAUGGCAUCAGUGGAGGGAAGCCAGCAAGGUGGUGAAACUGGCUCAGGUGUUGGUGAGUGUCCAGUGCCACUGGACUGGCAGUGAUGGGUGUUACUGGGCAAACCUGCUCUGCCUCACAACCUGGGAGAUGAGACCUGGGGUUUUAACAAGUACCAGUAUGCACCAGAAAUCCUGGUUUACUGCUGUGACUAGUUUUUCCAUUGUUCUUUUUGAAAUGUCAGCUUGGCAGACUGGCAUAGCCACAGAUUCAAUGUCCUUUGCCCUUACGGAUCAGAAGCUGAAACAGGAUUUGUCUAGAUUGUCUGUAGACUGUGGAAAAAGUUCACAGCAAUUAUGA